UACGGGGGGGGCAAGCGUUGUUCGGAAUUACUGGGUGUAAAGGGCUCGUAGGUGGCCAACUAAGUCAGACGUGAAAUCCCUCGGCUUAACCGGGGAACUGCGUCUGAUACUGGAUGGCUUGAGUUCGGGAGAGGGAUGCGGAAUUCCAGGUGUAGCGGUGAAAUGCGUAGAUAUCUGGAGGAACACCGGUGGCGAAGGCGGCAUCCUGGACCGACAUUGACGCUGAGGAGCGAAAGCCAGGGGAGCAAACGGG
rnacentral:rRNA from 1 species